AGUGUCCCUUCACUGAAGUACCUCCUUGUGUGUGUCCUUGUCUCUCUUGCACAGGGGAACCCAGACCUGGACCCAGAACUACAGAUGUAUCCCAGCAGUGCUGACCAGAAGGGAAGGAUGCCCUCACUCAGCUGGCUGGUCUCCUGAGUCAGACAAGAUGCACGUGAACAGUGGCAGCUGCUUGGGAAUGCCUUUGUUAUUCAUCAGAGACUGAUUGAACUUAUGCCAGUGCCUUUGAUGGGGCCUCAUUCAGAAGCCAUCAGGACCAAUGGAAAAGCUCCAGUUAACAAGGCCUUGAUGCCAGUCCAAAUCUGAUACCAAAGGUCCCUCAAGAAGGAUCUGCUUAUGGUAACACGGAGUCUGGUACUUGAUAGUUCUUGUGCAGGAGCACAUUUUUCAUGGGGAAGAAAAUGUAUUUGCUUCCACUCCACUACAGAGAAUCUUGCAUGUGUCCUUGGGUUUUUGGCAGAUGUUGAAAGCUGAUCAGAAGCAGAUGAUGUGAGAGCAACAAUAUGUCCCUGAGCAACAGCAAAGCAGCAGGUGCAGGAGGAGCAUAUGCCAGAUUCCCAUCAGCAGAAGGAGCUGCGUGGAGGGCUCUCUGGGACUGCAUGUAAGGUGCAUGCUCCACUUUUCCUCUGGCACUGGGGAAUAUUAAUGUCUUCAUCAGGCCAAGCAAAUGAUUUGCAAAUUUAGCUUUCAGUUAUGUAAUAAUUCAUAUCAUAAAUACCUAGGUACUAUGGGGCAAGAAAAUUUCUCAUGCAAAACAACCCUGGUCUUUAAAAACCAUCAUAUUUUACUUUUAAAAUAGAAUGUCCAUAAAAAAUUAUGAAGGCAAUUAGAAACCUUAGCUGCCCGAAAAUCUUUCGUACUCAUCCAAGAACAUGAAAAGUUUCCACUUAAUUAUUUUUUUAAUAAAAAAAAUUUAGUUUCAAAAAAUACUGUAUAAAUUUAAUUUGAAAUGCUUUGAUGAUACCAGUUCUGAGACACUCUUAAAAAAAAAAAUUAAGAAAAGCAAUGCUUCAGUGAGUGGAAGCUUUUUUCUGCUGUUCAGCCCUGGCACUCUGCUUUGCUUUGAACGGACUAAACAAAAGUAUGUCUGUUAUGAUCAAAAUUGAGUAAUUCUGGAUAGAAGCUAUCCAUUUUUCUCCAGUAUCAUAUUAUGGUCUUCUCAGUGGAACUGGACAAAAAGUCUGGUUUAUGAAAUACAUGUGCAUACCUAUGCAUCUUGCCUCGAGACAAAGCCAAGAUUUUUCUAAAAGAAAAAACUUCACACCCUCAACAUAAGAGCCAUCAAAAAGCAGCAAGUACACAAGAGUAUAAUCUUUCUUGUGCUGUGCCAAGUCUGUUUCUAAACUCUUGCUGUGCCAUACUUUUCAUGCUAGUGACCUGAAACUCAUCUUCAGAAAGAAAGGCGCUUUCUCUUUCUUCCAACCUUUAGUGGAAAUUUUCUUAUUAAAACCUACAGAAAGAUUUGGGUUUGGUAUUUUUUCUCUUAAGGAAACUUUUUUCAGAGAUCUCCAAUUCUCCUAUUGAGCCAUAUAACGGCAUUUAAUGAACCAGUUGAAAAUCUAAAUAACUAGUUUAAAAAAAUAAAAAUCCUAUUUUCUGCUUUUUCAAGUAGGAUUGAAAGGCCACAGGACAAUACAAACAAAGCACCUUCACUGGACUAAGUCUUCUACCAUUUAGUUACCUCUAAAGUACUCACAACACGACAAGGAUUUUGUGAAUUAUGUGUUUUGGAACAACUUGCAUUGCCACAAAUGUAAUCUAAUGCAAAAGAUGUGGAGCAAGUCUUAACAAGACAAGAAAUUCACUUUGAGGUGACCAGCAAAAAAAUUUGUUUCUAAGUAUUUCACAGCACUACACUGACAGAUUUCCCAGUUAUAGUUGAUACCAGGAAACACUCUAUGGCUAACCUUGAAUUUUAAUCAGAAAUGCUUGAAUAAAUUGGAAUGGGAAUUUGAGGACUGACAUCCUUAGAUAUCCCAAAUUGUUUGAUAAAUACCAUGUGAAUAUAGCAAAUGUUUGAAAUGGAGAUUUGAAUUAACCCUCUGAACUCAUAAACCACCUGUAUGACUUCUCCCAUACCAUGCCUGCCUAUGCCCUGUGCUCCUAAAUAACACAGAGACUAUAAAACUCAUCCUCUAAUCCCCACACACUUAUCACAAAACUGAACCUUCUAUGACUGGAAGUGCCACACUCACAUACAUUUAGGUCUUGGUAGAAAGAACUGAAAGAACUUUGCAGCUAUCUCUGAGGGAAUUGCCUUUCCAGCAGAAAAUUAACAGAUCAGUCAUUCCAGACCAACUACAGGGAUUUCUUGGAGAAAAGGAGAAUUAGAAGACUUAUAAGGAGAUGAAGUAUCUCAGUAUUUGUUAGGAAAUCCUAGAAUACCUAUCUAGAAAUGUGUUCCUUACACACUCAUACAAAACAGGCAGGGAAGAAAUUACAAUCAACAAGGCAGCCCUCCACCCAACAGAUAAAGGGGAAAAAAUUAGUUUGGAUAUCCAAAUUUCUUCAAGGAGUUUUUGAAACUUUCCUGUUUUAGAUUGGCAAAACGUCUGUGCUAGAACUUCAGCAGGAAGGGUGGUAUAGGACACCAAGAAAAUCAAGAUGAAAAAUCUAGUGGAUGAUAAAAUUUUGUAGUUUUGAAAGAACAGAUAUUAAACUCAUGUCCUAAAAAACAUGUUCUUCAUCUUUUUCCCCACUUGAAUCCAGAAGGUACACAGGCUGACAUAAUUUUGUAAUAGUGUCUUUAAUUCAGAAAUUACUAACAGUUGUAAUGAAAAAAUGUUGCAGUUUUGAAAGAACAUAUUAUAAACCAUAUCCUAAAAAGCAUGUUCUUCAUCUUUUCCCCCACUUGCAUCAGGUUGACAUAAUUUUGUAAUAGUAUCUUUAAUUCAGAAAUUGCUGACAAUCAUAAAACUUAAUUUUAUGUGUAAGUUCACUGAGUUCUCCUAAAUAAAUUAUGCUUUUUCAACAUAA